rnacentral:rRNA from 1 species
CCUAACACAUGCAAGUCGAACGCUCUKAUUUUCGCAAGAAGUAUCAGGGAGUGGCGAACGGCUGAGUAACACGUAAGUAACCUAUCCUUAAGUGGGGGAUAACCUGUCGAAAGGCAGGCUAAUACCGCAUGUGCUGGUAGACAUUGGUUUAUCAGGAAAGGUUUUUCGCUUGAGGAGGGGCUUGCGUCUGAUUAGCUAGUUGGAAGGGUAAUGGCCUACCAAGGCGAUGAUCAGUAGCUGGUCUGAGAGGACAACCAGCCAGACGGGGACUGAGAUACGGCCCUGACUCCUMSGGAGGCAGCAGCAAGGAAUUUUGCGCAAUGGGCGAAAGCCUGACGCAGCGACGCCGCGUGGGGGAUGAAGACCUUCGGGUUGUAAAGCCCUUUUCUGGGGGAAGAGGAAGGACGGUMCCCMRGAAUAAGUCUCGGCUAACUACGUGCCAGCAGCCGCGGUAAUAC